rnacentral:rRNA from 1 species
AGAGUUUGAUCAUGGCUCAGGAUGAACGCUGGCGGCGUGCUUAACACAUGCAAGUCGAACGGACGUUUUUAGCAAUCGGAGCGUUAGUGGCAAACGGGUGCGUAACACGUGGGUGACCUACCUCAGAGUGGGGAAUAACAGACCGAAAGGUUUGCUAAUUCCGCAUACGCUCGGCGAUUCAUUUCGUUGCGUAAAGCCGCAAGGCGCUCUGAGAGGGGCCCGCGGCCCAUCAGGUAGUUGGUGCGGUAACGGCCCACCAAGCCGAUGACGGGUAGCUGGUCUGAGAGGACGAUCAGCCACACUAGCACUGAGAUACGGGCCAGACUCCUACGGGAGGCAGCAGUGAGGAAUAUUGCGCAAUGGGGGAAACCCUGACGCAGCGACGCCGCGUGGGCGACGAAGGCCUUCGGGUCGUAAAGCCCUUUUGGCAGGGACGAGUGAGGACGGUACCUGCCGAAUAAGUCUCGGCUAACUACGUGCCAGCAGCCGCGGUAAAACGUAGGAGGCGAGCGUUAUCCGGAUUCACUGGGCGUAAAGCGCGCGUAGGCGGCUGAGCAAGUCGGACGUG